ACAGAUAAGUUGAUGGAAGAACUGUGGAAGGAUUUGCAAUUUCCCAGCAGUUUACAUCAACUAGUGAACGGUAAUAUGACUUUUAUUCAAUUUAAUUUAUCUGUAAACGCUUAAACUCUUUCUAUUUAUUCAAUUUCCACACGAUGGGAGACCCGACGACGAGAAGGAAGUGUUCUAUGCGAAGCUGAAGGAGGUGUACGACGGCUGUUUGCAACGGGACGUGAAAAUCAUCAUCGGUGAUAUGAACGCUCAGGUAGAACGGGAGGUAAUGUUUAGACCGGCAAUCGGGCCAAACAGCUUGCACACCGUAUCGAAUUAAUCGAACCAUUACCUAGUUGCAGUAUCCAAGUAACAAUUGAAGUUUUAUAGCACACUGCAAGUGCAAUCUAAAUUUUAUGAGUGGCUAUAAAACCACCAUAAAACCUAAAUUGUUACUGAGGUAUGCAUGCGCUCAAAACUCUCGACGGUGUACAACACUCGUCGUAGUCGGACGGCAAGGCCCAACAUCGCGCAACUUCGGGACGCCGGGGUUGCCCAAGAGUACGCACAGCGGCCGGAAGCAGCACUACCCACGGAAGAACAGCUGGGCGCAGCUACUCCUGAAGAUGGCUGGAGGGAGAUCCGUUCCGCCAUAGGAAGUACUGCUAUAGCGGCACUAGGUACAGCGAUUCCGAAUCGAGGAAACGACUGGUUCGAUGACGAAUGUAAGCAGUUAAUAGAGGAGAAGAAUGCAGCACGGGCUAGGAUGCUGCAGCACUGAAUGAGACAGAAUGUGUAGCGAUACAAACAAGCACGGAACAAGCAAACCUCGGUCCUACGGAGAAAGAAGCGCCACCAGGAGGACCGAGAUCGCGAAGCUAUGGAACAACUGUACCGCGUAAACGACACAUGGAAAUUCUACGAGAAACUGAACAGUUCGCGCAAAGGUUACGGUCCGCAAGCCGAUAUGUGCAGGGACGGCAACCUCCUACGAACGAGUGUGAGGUGAUUGAGAGGUGAAUGCACUACUAUGACGAUCACCUCAACAGUGAAGCAGCAGAGGACGAAGGCGGUAUGGCAACGGAUCUUGGAGCACGCGCAGAAGACGAUAGGCUGCCGGCCCCUGAUCUCCUAGAAGUCAAGGAGGAGAUCGGUCGGCUGAAAAACAAAGCUGCCGGUGUAGAUCAUCUACGAGCUAUUAAAAUAUGUUGGUGAAACACUGGCUAAAGCGCUGCACUGGGUAAUCGCCAAAAUUUGGGAGGAGGAGUUUCUUCCGGAGGAGUGGAUGGAGGGUGUCGUUUGCCCAAUCUAAAAAAAGGGUGACAAGUUGGAUUGCUGCUACUACUGCGCGAUCACACUACUUAGCGCCGCCUACAAGGUUCUCUCCCAAAUUCUUUACCGCCGAUUGUCACCAUUCGCAAGGGAGUUCGUGGGGCACUACCAAGCGGGAUUCAUGGGUUCCCGCGCCAAAGCGACGAUGGAUCGCUUGAUGUGCGUUGUUCGAGUAUCAGGGACACUCUCGAGUCCCUUUGAAUCUCGAAGAGGGUUACGGCAAGGUGAUGGUCUAUCGUGCCAGCUGCUCAACGUUGCGUUAGAAGGUGUAAUAAGGAGAGCGGGGAUAGAUACGAGUGGCACGAUCUUCAGGAAGUCUGUCCAGCUUCUUGGCUUCGCACGGAACUUUGAGUCGAUGUCGGAAACGUUAAUCAGCCAACAAGAUUGGACCUGCCGUCAACGUUCCGAAAACAAAAUGCAUGAGAGAAAGAGGUUCUAGAGACGACAAUGUGGACCUCCCAUGCCGAGUUUGGAUUGACGGUGACGAAAUCGAGAUGGUCGACGAAUUCGUGUAUUUGGGCUCACUGGUAACCGCCGACAAAGAUAUCAGAAGAGAAAUUCAGAGGCGGAUCUUUGCGGAAAAUCGUGCCUACUUUGGACUCCGGAGGACGCUCCGAUCGAACAAAAUUCGCCGCCGCAUGAAGUUGAUUAUCUAUAAGACGCUGGUUAGACCAGUGAUCCUCUACGGUAACGAGACCUAAACUAUGCUCGUGGAGGACCAACGCGCCCUUGGAGUUUUCUAACGAAAGGUGUUGUGUACCAUCUAUGGUGGCGUGCAGAUGGAAGACGGAACGUGGCGCAGGUGAAUGAACCAUGAGUUGCAUCAGCUGCUGGAAGAACCAUCCAUUGCGCAUACCGCAAAAAUAGGACGUUUGCGGUGGGCUGGACACGUCGUAAGAAUGUCGGACGACGACCCGGUGAAGAUGGUUCUUGAGGGCGACCCUACAGGAACAAGAAUACGGGGCGCAGCACGGUGGAUUGACCAGAUAGAGGACGACCUGCGUACCCUUCGAAGACUGCGAGGCUGACAACAAGCAGCAAUGGACCGAGUGGAGUGGAGACGGCUUCUGCAUACAGCAAGAGACAACAAGGCUCUAGCCUGAACAGUAAGAGUGAAACUGUUUCACUGCCUACGAUUUAUAUAACAAUAGAUUGACAGCUUUCGGACAUUUCGCUACAAAUGAAAUACUUAAUUUUAGAGCUGCUACACUGAGUGUGAGGCUGCUUCAAGGAGAUUCUGAUUCUCCGAACAAUCCCCAAAACAACAGCUGUGCAACUCUGACGAAACGAGUCUGUGCCACUUCUACUAAGAUCCUAAGAUUCCAAUAAUCUAAGAUCUUAGCAAUAAAGGCACCCUAGCCCAACCAGAGUGCCAAAUGGCACAUCAGGAUCGACGCCAGUAACAUCCUGACAAUGGCAUAUGGCGAACGGCAACGGACAGGACACGGAUCUCGAUUUGAACGACGACUUUGGGCUGACAUGCGUGCUGCUGUACUCCCUGAGUAAGGAAGGAUGACACCGACUUGAAAUGGUGAGUGGACUAACAGCGCGGCUCCCUCCGUCCCGACAAAACCCUGGCAGGUCUCCGGAUACGUUCGAAACUCGCAACCAUUUCAUUGCUGGUACUAGGUUCGGCUGGAGUAUUCCCGAUUUUAUGCCGAUCCGACUCUGAAUACUACUCCCCAUGAAGGAUAUUGUCAACCCUUGUAUGACUUCCCAGCUUCAUGCAUAAUCAUGAGAUCACGAGAGACCACUAUGCACAACGAGUGGAGAUAGCGGCCCGAAGUUGGGACCCAAAAAAUGGAGAAAAACAUUGAAACUCAUAUAUACGGAACAGGUGUAGCAAAUCCGUUCGCCAGAGCUGGCUUGGUGAGGUCACCACUGCCAGCAACAGCGGAAGUUAUUCAGCAUAAACAAGAGGAGCGGAAGCAACAGUAACAACAGUCACAGCCGAGCGGGAUGAGUUACACCACAUAAAAGUCAAAGGUAGUGGCAACGAAGUACCUGGUGGAGGAGCUCCACAAAUUUGUGGAUGCGAGAAACUCUCAGAAUCCGAAAGAACUUAUUUUCUACCGUGAAUGAGUAUGACACGGUAACGCGGAGGCCUGAUGUAGCUGAGCGAGCAUUGGCGUCGGCUUAGGCUACUAUCUUCCUCGCCCCCCUUCCCCCCGAAGCAGGGGAAGGAGAAGCAUAUUGGAGUGGAAAAUACACCAGCUUCCGCGACUCCACAGUAGACCAGAACCUCGCCAGGAGACGGGAAACCAGGCAAGCCCAAGAGACAGACACUCUAAGACGCUGUUGUUUUCGACGGAAAGGACGUCACCCAACAGGGAGAAAGCUGGAGUACCGUUGUAGGUCGGAAGGAGGAACACGAGAAACAGCAAAUGCAGAUGUAAGUGCAAAAAGUACAUCAGAAGAGAAAAGGAAAACCUCCGGCUCGUCAGAAAGCGCCAAAGAGAGAAGCCGUGCUUGUCUCGCGACGACAUAUGCAGCGCUGCUCAAGAAGGUCAGAGAGGACCCGGAGCUGAAGGAUUUAGGGGAAAACGUGGUAAGAAUCAGGCGUACCCAAAAAGACGAGAAGAAUCCCAAGACUAGUAGCUCAACCUUGCAGGAGACUAUUACCAAAUCAAUGGGUGAAAAAGCAGAAGUUAAAGUCUCAAACUCGGAGAUGGUGACAAUGUGCUAGGACCUUGAUGAAAUCACGACAGAAGACGAGCUGAGAUGCGCACUGAAGCAGCAGUGUAACCUGUGCACAGGUGCACAUGACGAUCCCGCCAAAGAUGGAAUACGGAGGAACUCUGACAGCGAUGAUUCGUUUGCCGGUAACCGCUGCCGAUAAGGCACUGGAGGUAGGCAAAGUUACGGUUGGAUAGUCGAGAUGCCCAUUGAGAUCCGCCCCACGACUGAAUAAACAAGCGGAGAAAUGCUUCCAGUGUUUGGGCUUUGGACAUUUGACAGGGGCUUGCAAAGGCCUGGGUAGAUCCAGCGUGUGCUGGAAAUGCGAGGAGACGCGCCAUCUUGUGAGAAACUGCACGGACAGUGGCCGAAGUGCUUGCCUUGCACCGGAAACGAUCAUCGGACGGGUGACGGGUAAAAGCCCUGCCUACUGCCGACUGUAGGCCAACGGUAAUGGACAUAGCCCAGAUAAAUCUGAAUCACUGUGACACCGCACAGCUACUAUUGUGGCUGUCUACGACAGAAACUAUGUGUAGUGUCGCUUUGAUCGCCGAGCCGUAUCAAGUACCCGCUGAUAACGGUAACUAGGUGGUGGAUAGAUCGGGAACGGCUAUGAUACAAGUUCUGGGCGGAUUCCCCAUUCAAAAAGUGAUAGAAUGCUCAUACGAGGGCUUCGUAAUCACCAAAAUCAAUGGCGUCUUCGUGUGCAGCUAUUACGCUCCUCCAAGGUGGACAGUAGAGUAGGUCAGCCUAAUGCUGGAGCAGUUAACCGUGCAGUUGAUCAGUCAUAAGCCGGUAGUCAUUGGUGGUGACUUUAACGCCUGGGCUGUGGAGUGGGGCAGUAGAAAAACCAACACAAGAUGGUGUAUCCUGCAGGAAGCUCUGGCGAAGUUAGAUGUACGAUUGUGCAAAUAAUAUUCUGUUAGCACAUUUUCGAGAAACGGGAGGGAGUCUGUCAUCGACGUCACAUUCUGUAGUCCUUCAUUGACGGCGAACAUGGAUUGGAGUAUGCGAAACGUAUACGCAUAGUGACCACCAGGCGAUUCGCUACCGUAUCGGUCAACGGAACCCUGUUGCAGCACGGAGAAGGACAACCGGCGAGCGAAAGUGGAAGACGAAAGCCUUCAUCAGACCUUUUCGUUGAGGCACUUCGGCCGAACGGCGGGACUGAGAAUGUGGAUGCGGUUGACUUACCAAGAAGGAUUAUGGCGGCUUGUGACGCCACAAUGCAGCGAAAACUGGAAUCACGCAAUAGACGGCGACCAACUUAAUGGUGGAACGAGAUGCUUUGUUUGCUACGCGCUGCUUGUCUCAGAGCCAGAAGGCGAGCUCAGAGAGCAAUAUCGGAACCAGAUGGAAAAGAGCGCAAUGCAUCGUUUCGGGAAGCUAGGGCCGCUUUAAAACGGGAGUUCAGAUUUAGCAAGUCAGACUGCCACAAGUAGCUGUGCCGAGAAGUAGACGCCAAUCUCUGGGGCGACGCGUACCGAGUCCUGAUGGCGAAAAUGAAUGUGCUCGAUGACGCCAACCGAAAUGUGCCCGGGUAAGCUGAAGAUAAUCGUCGAGGGUUUUUUCUCGAAGUACGAUCCAACUGCCUGGUCACCGCCACCGUACGGCGAAUAAGAAUAAGCAAACACGGACGAUCGCAGGAGCGUCGAAGCGGCUGAAAUAAACAAAAAAACGCGGUCCAGAUGGAAUACCAAACGUGGUGCUGAAAGCUGCGAUCCUUCCAUAUUCGGACAUGUUCAGGAUCGUGCUGCAGAAGUGUUUAAAUGAAGGUAACUUCCCCGAAAUGUGGAAGGUACAGAAGCUGGUGUUGGUGCCGAAGUCAGGGAAGCCACAUGGCGAUCCGGCCUCGUAUAGGCCAAUAUGUCUGCUGGAUACAUUAGGAAAACUCUUGGAAAGAAUCAUCUUUAACAGGUUGACGAAAUGCACAAAGAGUGAGCACGGACUGUCCAAGUUGCAGUUCGGAUUCCGUAAAGGACCGUCGACAGUGGAUGUAAUUCGGACAGUGAUCGAGAAUGCUGAGAAGGCAGCUAAAUAGAAGCGAAUAGGAGAUCGUUACUGCGCUGUGGUCACGAUGGAUUUGAAGAAUGCAUUUAACAGCGCCAACUGGGAAGCCAUCGCGGCAGCGCUGCACAGAAUGAGGGUUCCCGACUAUCUAUGCCAGAUCGUAAAGAGAUACUUCCAGAGCAGAGUGCUGCUGAACGAGACGAGCGUCACAGCGGGCGUUCUUCAGGGCUCCAAUCUAGGUCCAACUCUUUGGAACGGGAUGUACGAUGGGGUAUUAGCACUGCGGCUGCCAAAGACAGUGAAAAUCGUGGAUUUCACGGACGAAGUGUCUCUAAUGGUGAUGGGUGAGCCACUUGAAGAAGUGGAGGUUGUCGUGUCCGGACUACUCAGAUAAUGAACUUCCUCGUUCAAAGUCAAUCACACAACUGACGAGCUUUAUUCAGCUCAUUUCUUUCUAGCUAUCUCCAAUCUAUUCUCUCGUCUCAUUCAAUUUAAUUUCUAUUUUCUCUCUCCUGAAUCUGUACCUUUCAUUUGAGUCGGUUAGGGAGACAAUAGACGUGAUUGAGAACUGGAUGGACGGCAAGUUUCACUGAUAUCCAUACUUGCUCCGAGCUCGCUCACGGUGAACGGAGAUAAGCACACCACCACCUGAUGUCUUGUGACUGUUACAACUGUAUACACCGAAUGUAUAACCAAACACCUGGCGAGACAGAGUACAGUUGUCAAGGCGAUGACAUCAUAACAGCAUCCCGUGGUCGCGGGGUUAGAAACCGAAUGAUAACACCGAAUUGGGAGUCGACCAAUUGUUGUCUGAAAUAAUCGAACCGUAUGAGGCAAAUGCAAGAUUCCGGUUUUCUAGAAAAUAAAGUGUUACACAAACAAAUAAUUCAUC